AACGCACCUUGCGCUCCUUGGUAUUCCGAGGAGCAUGCCUGUUUGAGUGUCAUGAAAUUCUCAACUUUUCUGGCUUUUAUUAGCUGGUUAGGCUUGGAUUGUGGAAGUUGCUGGUUUUGUUAGAAAUCAGCUCUUCUCAAAUGUAUUAGCAGAACCUUUGCUGACUAUCCUCUGGUAUGAUAAUUAUCUAUACCAUUGAAAAGUAGCUCCUCUGGGAGGGUUUUGCUUCUAAUAGUCUAUCUGGACAAACUAUUGACAAUUUGACCUCAAAUCAGGUAGGACUACCCGCUGAACUUAA
rnacentral:misc_RNA from 1 species